UACGUAGGGGGCUAGCGUUGUCCGGAAUCAUUGGGCGUAAAGCGCGUGUAGGCGGUUCGGUAAGUCCGCUGUGAAAGUCGGGGGCUCAACCCUCGGAUGCCGGUGGAUACUGUCGGGCUAGAGUCCGGAAGAGGCGAGUGGAAUUCCUGGUGUAGCGGUGGAAUGCGCAGAUAUCGGGAGGAAUACCUAUGGCGAAAGCAGGUUCUGGGCCAUCACUGACGCUGAGCUGCGAAAGCUAGGGGAGCAAACAGG
rnacentral:rRNA from 1 species